GUAGAAUUUGAUCCUGGCUUUGAAUGAAAGUGGCGAGGCAUGCUUGAAACACGUAGAUAACCCGCGACAAGGCUGGGGAUGACAUUUGGAAACAGGUGCUAAUACCGAAUAAAACUUAGUAUCGCAUGAUACAAAGUUGAAAGGCGCUACGGCGUCACCUAGAGAUGGGUCCGCGGUGCAUUAGUUAGUUGAUGGGGUAAAGGCCUACCAAGACAAUGAUGCAUAGCCGAGUUGAGAGACUGAUCAGUCACACUGGAACUGAGACACGGUCCAGACUCCUACGGGAGGCAGCAGUGGGGAAUAUUGGACAAUGGGCGAAAGCCUGAUCCAGCCAUGCCGCGUGUGUGAAGAAGGUCUUCGGAUUGUAAAGCACUUUAAGUUGGGAGGAAGGGCCGUUACCUAAUACGUGAUGGUUUUGACGUUACCGACAGAAUAAGCACCGGCUAACUCU
rnacentral:rRNA from 1 species